rnacentral:rRNA from 1 species
UAAGGGCGCACGGUGGAUGCCUUGGCACUAGAAGCCGAUGAAGGACGUUACUAACGACGAUAUGCUUUGGGGAGCUGUAAGUAAGCUUUGAUCCAGAGAUUUCCGAAUGGGGAAACCCAGCAUGAGUUAUGUCAUGUUAUCGAUAUGUGAAUACAUAGCAUAUCAGAAGGCACACCCGGAGAACUGAAACAUCUUAGUACCCGGAGGAAGAGAAAGAAAAUUCGAUUCCCUUAGUAGCGGCGAGCGAAACGGGAAGAGCCCAAACCAACAAGCUUGCUUGUUGGGGUUGUAGGACACUCUAUACGGAGUUACAAAGGACGACAUUAGACGAAUCAUCUGGAAAGAUGAAUCAAAGAAGGUAAUAAUCCUGUAGUCGAAAAUGUUGUCUCUCUUG